rnacentral:lncRNA from 1 species
CCAAAGAACCCUACAAAAUCAUGAAAGUCAAGAGGUUCAAACCUCUGUGUUCACUUUAUGAACACUCACAAAACUACCCAGGCUAUGAAUGGUAUAUAUGUCCAAAAAGCUACCAAGUAACUGAACAAAGUCACUUUAAAGAAGCAAUGUGUCAAGCCGGGGGGUGUGGUGGCACACGCCUUUAAUCCCAGCACUCGGGAGGGAGAGGCAGGCGGAUUUCUGAGUUCAAGGCCAGCCUGGUCUACAGAGUGAGUUCCAGGAUAGCCAGGGCUACACAGAGAAACCCUGUCUCGAAAAACCAAAAAAAAAAAAAAAAAAAAAAAAAAAAAGAAGAAGAAGAAGCAAUGUGUCAUUCCAGUGGGAUAACAGCAGGUGCGCUCAGUGGGGCUGGUCACAGGGUUGCCGAAUUUCUGCUGUACGCGCCUAAGUAAGUACUGCUGGCCUGAAGGAUUUACUUGAAGUGAACAGGCACCUGAGACACUCCGAUGAACUCAGAGCCCAGGGACAGAGUAACCCACACGCGAGUUGCCCUGCCACAGAGAUGGUCCUCCCUGGAAAGGAAUAAACUCCUCCAAAGCUAGAAGAGGAGGCUGCACAGAAGGAAGAGACAAAGACACCCCAGAAGAAAC